CAGUCGCCGCGGUAAUACGAAGGGUGCAAGCGUUAAUCGGAAUUACUGGGCGUAAAGCGUGCGUAGGCGGUGAGUUAAGUCUGCUGUGAAAUCCCCGGGCUCAACCUGGGAAUGGCAGUGGAUACUGGCUCGCUAGAGUGUGUCAGAGGAUGGUGGAAUUCCCGGUGUAGCGGUGAAAUGCGUAGAGAUCGGGAGGAACAUCAGUGGCGAAGGCGGCCAUCUGGGACAACACUGACGCUGAGGUACGAAAGCAUGGGGAGCAAACAGGAUUAGAUACCCGAGUAGUCCCUGUCUCUUAUAC
rnacentral:rRNA from 1 species